CCCCGGCCCAGGCUCGGGCGGCGCUGCGGAGCUGGGGCUAGGGGGCAGGUAUAUCCUGAAGAUCUCGGGGAAUUGCACAGCUUCCGACGGGAAAGACCAGCUCAGGACGCAGCUCCGAAUUCAGCAGUGAAGCCAUCAGGACCUGGGAUUUUCUUUGUUGUUCUGCAGGUUGGGAUGUACAAGAUCAAGGUGCCAGUAUGUUAGGGCCCAGACUCACUGCUUCCAGGAUGGUGCCCUGAAUGCUGGGUCCAUUGGAAGGAAGAAAUGCUACAUCCUCACAUGACAGAAGAGGAGAAAUGGGCAAGCCAUCACUGCAGUCCUUCUGUUAGUCCACCCCUGAGGGCUCUUGUGACUGAGAGCUGAUGGUCUCUGGUGUUCCCGCUUUCUAAACAGAUGAUUCUGUGAAUGAAAGCCCGCUGUGGUAUUACAGG
rnacentral:lncRNA from 1 species